rnacentral:misc_RNA from 1 species
GAUGAAGAACGCAGCGAAAUGCGAUAAGUAGUGUGAAUUGCAGAAUUCAGUGAAUCAUCGAAUCUUUGAACGCACAUUGCGCCCCUUGGUAUCCCGAGGGGCAUACCUGUUCGAGCGUCAUUUCACCACUCAAGCCUGGUUUGGUGUUGGGCGACGUCCUCUUUGGGGACGCGCCUCGAAACGCUCGGCGGCGUGGCACCGGCUUUAAGCGUAGCAGAAUCUUUCGCUUUGGAAGUCGGGGCCCCGUCUGCCGGAAGACCUGCUCGCAAGGUUGACCUCGGAUCAGGCAGGGAUACCCGCUGAACUUAAGCAUAUCAAUAGCGGAGGA